rnacentral:misc_RNA from 1 species
UCCGAGUUGACCCCGGCAGUCUCCUAUGAGUCCCCACCAUGACGUGCUGGCAACAUAGGACGAGGGUUGCGCUCGUUGCGGGACUUAACCCAACAUCUCACGACACGAGCUGACGACAACCAUGCACCACCUGUGCACGGCCCUUACGGACCUCCCAUCUCUGGGAGAUUUCCGUGCAUGUCAAGCCUAGGUAAGGUUCUUCGCGUUGCAUCGAAUUAAACCACAUGCUCCACCGCUUGUGCAGGCCCCCGUCAAUUUCUUUGAGUUUUAACCUUGCGGCCGUACUCCCCAGGCGGAUGACGUGGGAGGAAUUCCA